UACCGAGUUGUCGACAUGAGUUGUUGCUGGUCCUCAAACGGGGGCAUGUGCACGCUCUGUUCACACAUCCACUCACACCUGUGCACCCUGUGUAGUUCUAUGGUCUGGGGGACAACACUGUCUUCCUCCCGUAGUCCUGCGUUUUUACACCUACGCUGUAGUAGAAAAGUCUUAUGGAAUGUGUGCCGCGUUUAACGCAAUGUAAUACAACUUUCAGCAACGGAUCUCUUGGCUCUCGCAUCGAUGAAGAACGCAGCGAAAUGCGAUAAGUAAUGUGAAUUGCAGAAUUCAGUGAAUCAUCGAAUCUUUGAACGCACCUUGCGCCCCUUGGCUAUUCCGAGGAGCAUGCCUGUUUGAGUAUCAUGAACACUUCAACUCUCAUGGUUUACUGUGAUGAGCUUGGACUUUGGAGGUUUUUGCUGGUGCAUGAUCAGCUCCUCCCAAAUAAAUUAGCUUGCCAGUCAUCGGUGGCAUCACAGGUGUGAUAACUAUCUACGCUUGUGGUCGUCUGCUGGGAAACCUUCUGGCAACAGAGGUUUGCUGGAGCUCAUAAAUGUCUCUCUUCAGUGAAGACAGCUUUUUGAACGUUUG
rnacentral:misc_RNA from 1 species